UGGGGAAUAUUGGACAAUGGGCGCAAGCCUGAUCCAGCCAUGCCGCGUGAGUGAAGAAGGCCUUAGGGUUGUAAAGCUCUUUCACCCGCGAAGAUGAUGACGGUAGCGGGAGAAGAAGCCCCGGCUAACUCCGUG
rnacentral:rRNA from 1 species